GGAGGGCAAGUCUGGUGCCAGCAGCCGCGGUAAUUCCAGCUCCAAUAGCGUAUAUUAAAGUUGUUGCAGUUAAAAAGCUCGUAGUUGAACCUUGGCUCUGGCUGGCCGGUCCGCCUCACCGCGAGUACUGGUCCGGCUGGAGCUUUCCUUCUGGGGAACCUCAUGGCCUUCACUGGCUGUGGGGGGAACCAGGACUUUUACUGUGAAAAAAUUAGAGUGUUCAAAGCAGGCCUUUGCUCGAAUACAUUAGCAUGGAAUAAUAGAAUAGGACGUGCGGUUCUAUUUUGUUGGUUUCUAGGACCGCCGUAAUGAUUAAUAGGGAUAGUCGGGGGCGUCAGUAUUCAGCUGUCAGAGGUGAAAUUCUUGGAUUUGCUGAAGACUAACUACUGCGAAAGCAUUCGCCAAGGAUGUUUUCAUUAAUCAGGGAACGAAAGUUAGGGGAUCGAAGACGAUCAGAUACCGUCGUAGUCUUAACCAUAAACUAUGCCGACUAGGGAUCGGACGGGAUUCUAUUAUGACCCGUUCGGCGCCUUACGGGAAAC
rnacentral:rRNA from 1 species